rnacentral:rRNA from 1 species
ACGAUGCAGUGGCAGACGGGAGAGUAACGCGUGGGAACGUACCUUUCACUACGGAAUAGCUCUGGGAAACUGGUGGUAAUACCGUAUACGCCCUCCGGGGGAAAGAUUUAUCGGUGAAAGAUCGGCCCGCGUUGGAUUAGCUAGUUGGUGAGGUAAUGGCUCACCAAGGCGACGAUCCAUAGCUGGUCUGAGAGGAUGAUCAGCCACAUUGGGACUGAGACACGGCCCAAACUCCUACGGGAGGCAGCAGUGGGGAAUCUUGCACAAUGGGCGAAAGCCUGAUGCAGCCAUGCCGCGUGAAUGAUGAAGGCCUUAGGGUUGUAAAAUUCUUUCGUCAGGGAUGAUAAUGACCGUACCUGAAGAAGAAGCCCCGGCUAACUUCGUGCCAGCAGCCGCGGUAAUACGAAGGGGGCUAGCGUUGUUCGGAAUUACUGGGCGUAAAGCGCACGUAGGCGGAUUUUUAAGUCAGGUGUGAAAUCCCGGGGCUCAAACUCGGAACUGCAUUUGAAACUGGAAGUCUUGAGACCAGGAGAGGUUAGCGGAAUACCGAGUGUAGAGGUGAAAUUCGUAGAUAUUCGGUGGAACACCAGUGGCGAAGGCGGCUAACUGGACUGGUACAGACGCUGAGGUGCGAAAGUGUGGGGAGCAAACAGGAUUAGAUACCCUGGUAGUCCACACCGUAAACGAUGAGAGCUAGUUGUUGGCAGGCAUGCCUGUCGGUGACGCAGCUAACGCAUUAAGCUCUCGCCUGGGGGAGUACGGCCACAAGUUAAACUCAAAGAAAUUGACGGGGCCCGCACAGCGGUGGAGCAUG